AUUGAACGCUGGCGGCAGGCCUAAUACAUGCAAGUCGAACGAGUGGCGGACGGGUGAGUAACGUCUGGGAAACUGCCUGAUGGCGGGGGAUAACUACUGGAACCGGUAGCUAAUACCGCAUACCAUCGGAUGUGCCCAGGUGGGAUUAGCGAGUAGGUGGGGUAAAGUCUAACCUAGGCGACGAUCCCUAGCUGGUCUGAGAGGUUGACCGGCCACACUGGAACUGAGACACGGUCCAGACUCCUACGGGAGGCAGCAGUAGGGAAUCUUGCGCAAUGGGCGCAAGCCUGAUGCAGCCAUGCCGCGUGAAUGAAGAAGGCCUUCGGGUUGUAAAGUUCUUGCAGCGGGGAGGCGUUACCCGCAGAAAAAGCACCGGCUAACUCCGUGCCAGCAGCCGCGGUAAUAC
rnacentral:rRNA from 1 species